rnacentral:rRNA from 1 species
UACGGAGGGUGCAAGCGUUAUCCGGAAUCACUGGGUUUAAAGGGUGCGUAGGCGGUUUUAUAAGUCAGCGGUGAAAGGUGUUCGCUCAACGAACGAACUGCCGUUGAUACUGUUUAACUAGAAUUGGGCUGAGGUAACUAGAAUGUAACAUGUAGCGGUGAAAUGCUUAGAUAUGUUAUAGAACACCGAUUGCGAAGGCAGGUUACUGGACCUUGAUUGACGCUGAGGCACGAAAGCGUGGGUAGCGAACAGG